GUCCCUGUCGAUUAGUGGUUAGAUCAUCACGUUGUGGCUUCGGGUCGAUGACUCGGGUACAAAACCGUGAAGACGCAGGCUCGACUCCUGCCCGGGACA